ACCAGGAGGUCUACUAAGAAAGCUCUUUCUUUUGUCCUAUCCAGAUGUGUGUCUCUGCUCCAGUCGAGAGGUCUUCAGUCAGAUAGAGGGUAAUAUGAAAUACAAACUUAUGACCAAGACCACAGGCCAAACUAGUCAAAGGUUUACAUUCUAUAAUUAGUUACAUUUUCAAAAAAUAGCGACAGAUUCAGCUGAUUUCCAAUCAAUAUAUCUGGCUGAUUUCAGUGGUUAAAUCUAAGCAUGGAUUCAGGUAAUGGUGGCACUGUGGUUAGAAUGCAGUACUGCAGGCUAAGUCACUGCUCACUCUAGGAGUUGCAUCCUGACCAACUCAAAGUUGUCUCAUCCUUCCAUCCUUCUGAGAUCAGUAAAAUGAGGAUCCAGAUUGUUUGGGAUAAUAUGCUGACUCUGUAAACUGAUUAAAGAGGGCUGUAAAGCACUGUGAAGCAGUAUAUAAGUCUAA